UACGUGGGGUGCAAGCGUUUGUCCGGAAUUAUUGGGCGUAAAGAGCUCGUAGGCGGUUUGUCGCGUCGGCUGUGAAAACUCGGGGCUCAACCCCCGAGCCUGCAGUCGAUACGGGCAGACUAGAGUGCGGUAGGGGAGACUGGAAUUCCUGGUGUAGCGGUGAAAUGCGCAGAUAUCAGGAGGAACACCGGUGGCGAAGGCGGGUCUCUGGGCCGAUACUGACGCUGAGGAGCGAAAGCGUGGGGAGCGAACAGG
rnacentral:rRNA from 1 species